CCCGGCCGUUCUCCCGCAGGGCCCCGAGGCGCUGACGGAGGGCCCGGCCCCUCGCCGCCGCCCCGCCCCGCGCGGAGCUCGCCGCCCGCAGCGGCCCCUGCAUUGCGGAGCGCUACCUGAGCGGGGCGGCUCCUCAGCCCGACAUGGCGGUGCGCUGAGGAGGCAAAGCGGUGAGAUAGGUGGAAAAUCGUACCUCAGGAUCUGCGCUGCUGCCGCCUUGCAGCUGUGCCGGUGUGGCUCUGAGCUCUCCGGCCCUUUCCCGGGCUUCGGCGAUGAAAGAGAUUAAUAGAAGUUGCUGCUUGAUCUGGGGAGCUGUGAGAUGUUGUCUACUUGGUGAGGUCAACAGGCUCCAAACCCCUCCAACCAGCAGUUGCAUUAGACAAGGUCAACGGCUAAAGGUUUUCUCAGUUGAACAAAAUGCCGUGAGCUUCCAGAAGGGAAAGAGCCUCUAAGGAAAAAGAGAGAAAAUUGCUUCUGUGGAAUUUUCCUCACAGAAAGGGACCACGACCCAACCCUCGAAACUGAGGAAGACUGCCAGCAGCCCGAGGACAAAGAGGAUCCUUCUGCAGAGAGGGGAGCUGGGGAGAGGCAAACUGCACGAGCUCCAACCUGCUGGAGAACAUCUGUGAGCAACAGCAUCUCGCUUGCCUGACUCGGCUUCAUAGGAAGAAGUUGUCACAGGG